AGUUUGACUUUGACCUUUUCUCACUGCACACAGCAGUGAAGCGCUCUCUCUCUCUUACGCUCUCUCUUUCUAUCUCUUUAUCAGUGUCAGCUUUGUCGGUGUGGUAAAGAAUCUUGGAAUUCAUGCAGAUUUAUUAUCAAAGCCAGUUGUAUAUGAUUUAUUUCAGCGUGUUUGUGCAGCUGUCACACUGAGUGUGGUCAGGUGCACUCUAGCUACUUUUUUCACAUAAAGGAAGUCGACUACUUUUUUCACAUAAAGGAAGUCGACUACUAAACAUUAACACUGUUAUGUAAUAACACUAGUUACUCCAAAUGUACUCUGCUCCUGCCAAAGCAACAUUACUACCACAAAACCUGCUCGUUUAUUUAGGGUAAUUCGGUGAGGUUAUCAGUCUCAUAAUGUCAGGUUAUUGUAUGGCAGUGUUCGCUCACAUGUGGCAAAAUCAUAUUUUGGCUUCUUAAUGGCUCCUUUGUAGUUCAGAGGCUUGUUUAACAUUCAGUGGACAUAUGUACAUAGGACGAUCGCAGUGAUUUUCAAAAAUCACGUUCAGUUUUGUUAUAGAGAAUCCAACUCCUCAUAUGGGCAUGAUGCCAUCUCCAGAACGAUGCACAAAUUGAAAGGUCUGUUUGGUAGCCUAUACAUCAAUGGUCGAGACCGCCACAUGACUAUUGCAGAGUAUUAUUUGAGUGGUGAAUCAUGCUCAGCACUGCAGUGACACUGACAGGGUAGUGACAUGGUAAUAAAAGUGCAUCAUACACAGCAGUGUUACUGGAUUUUUUUGAUAGCUGGACUGAGAAUAGUCCACCAACCAAAAAUAUAAAGCCAAUAGCAUCUUAUGGCCAGAAACUGAUCAUUGAUGAAAGACUAGAGGAUAACUAACACCAACUGUGUAGCACCAGAUGAGCGGUCUUCUUUAAUUUUACAUCUUCAAGGUGCAGCAAAAGUUGUGUGUCUAAUAAAGUGGGCAGUAAGUGGUCACAGUGUUUGAAAGCUUAUUCACUUAUUCACUUAACACUUAUUAACAUCACUACCGUAUCAGUGUUAUUCAGAAUGAUCAUCCGCCCAAAUAAUACCUCCUCUGUGGUGGUCCUGUGGGCGUUGUGACCCUUGAUGAAAGGAGUAAUGGGGCUAACAAAUUAUGGAAAGAAAUUAAUUGCAGAACUGCAACAUGCACAUAUAUGGUAAGUAGACCUGAUAAAAUGAACAACAACUACGUUUUGGUGCACACAGAUGGUUCGAUAUUAGCUGAAAGUGAUAGUCUAACUGAGCUAUGAUUGUGCAAACAGUGUGGUUUGAUUGUUGUAGUCCAACUGAGGUCUUUGUUGACCUGAGCUUAGUCCAAUUAAAACAUGCGGUCCAGGCUGGUACUGGCCAGGCUAUUUGUGACAAAUCUGAACAUGUAAGUGCUUAAAACGUUCCACUAACUUGCACAAGGAGUUUUUUGCGAGUUUUUCUGGGGUACAGCUUAUUAUACACAUGGGAACUAAACUCUGGAAAGUAGAUCUCCAAGAGGAGAGUUGGUGACUACUGGCCCGUGAUACAUUUUGAUAAUGCUUAAUAACAUCUACCUUUUUUAAUGGUACCAACUUUUUUAGAUAUGAAAAAAGCACAUUUAAUAAACCGAAAAAAAGAUUAUUUAAGGAGUUAAUACCAGUUAGGUGUACCUUAUAAAGUGGGCUGCGAAUGUGAAAGUUUCAACUUAACAAAACUCUUUGCUCCACAUGUGGAAUAUGAGUCCUCAUUGUGCAAUUUCCCAGCCACAGGUGUGCAGUUCUCAUCGGAUUGUAGAAGUGUAGGCAGGUGUUAGUGUGCAUGUGUCUGAGUGGCACAGCUCCAAAAAUAAACCCCAUCUUGCUCAUUUUGCAUUCGACGGAGAGCGUUUCCUCACUGACACACCAAAACGACCAGAACAUUUCCCGCCACAGCUACAUUCGUGCUGUCCAGCUGCUGCCAUUCAGCUUAAUGAAUAUUUCAGGCCGUCUCGGGACCAUGAAAUGAAGACUGAUUUCUAUUUGCUCUGCUGUUGGUACUAGACUGGCGUUUAGUUUUUUCUUUUUUUUUCGUUUGGUGACGGUGAAGGAAACGCUGGCGCAGAACAGGGUGUGUCCUCCCCACCCGACUGCCGGAUAUGACCACAUCUUCCUAUUUUUAUUUUUUUUGUGGUCUAAGGCCUUUUCUGUAUUGAUUCUCUUUUUUUCAAGGUGGAACAUGGCUGCACUUUCAAAAGAAAGUCACAUGUUACCGUUUAGAUCUCUAUGUUCGUCUCAGGCACUUUGAAAUCUGGCAGUACUAUUUUUAGCAGGUUCUCUCUUUUUCCAUAAAAUUGAGUUGAGGCUGCAAGUCAGUAUUAGAGCAGGGUGGCUGUAGACCAGGCUGUGUCUGCCUGCCCCUUUGGCUCAUUGCCUGAUUACUGAUCCACAUCUGCAGUCUAGUGAAGCUUGCAGGUGAGGCCUUAUCAGUGCCCAAGAUAGCUGCCUUCCAGCCUUCUGGAAGCCCUGACAACUCUCACAGGGCUGCACAAUGUCUGAUUGGUUAACCGUUAUCAUGAUAUUAGCCUUUGCAAUACUGAUAGUGAUAGUAUUUUAUUGUAGUGGAGGUUAUUUUGGACUUAAUCUCAUUUUGGCUAAACCAUGUUGCAUUAUAGAUUCAUCAGUUUGUAUAUUGCAAAGCAUGUCACAUGAGUUGUUUAGUAACCAUGUUGCACAGCCUUGCUCUGUCACUUUGAUUGAUACUGAGUUGGGCUGUAAUGAAUAUUCUAUAAAAUUUGAUGAACAUGAUCAUUACAAAUUCAAAAAAGGGGGGAUGCCAUUUGAAUAACCAGAGUAACUUUUACCCAUUUUUAAGACACCACUCUUCUCCGUGCACCUGUUUUUGUUAGUGUGAUGGGAAACAAACUUCAGUUUAUCAAGCUAAACUCCAGCCAGUCACUAGUAGCCCAUAUAGCAAUGUAUUUAAAGAGAACGAGAGAAUCACGUCAUACAAAACGGGUUUAUGGAGGGCCUUUUUCCACGUGAGUCAAAUGGUCCUUUCUUGUCAAAGCAAGUUGUUUCCUGCCAUGUUGAUAUCUCUGCAAUAGUCAGAGGUACAAGUUCCUAACUGUAUGUGUUGGAGCUCUAAUUUUAGGUUUUAAUGUCAGUCUUAAUCCCCUGGAUUAACAUGUUAUGCUACUUGCUAAGACAGUAAUUGUUUAUUAGUGAUGUUUUUCUAGUUCACCUAGAUUACCUAGUAUAAUGGUAGUAUAUUCAGUUUAUUAACAAAGCUUAAAUAAAAAAGAAAACAAGGAAGACGCAACAGGGGUUAUAGGAAAGGCCAAAAAAACAGAAGAGCACCUUAAAUUUUGGUACAUGGCCCCCUGAAUGCCCCUGCUUUUGGCAUUGCCUGAGAUUAUUGGCAAACAGAGUGGAAACUGGAAGUUUUCCUGUGUUGGCGCUAUGUACGUGACUCUAUAAGCUUGGUUUGAAUCAGGAAAUGCAUAGGGGUUUAGGGUGGUGAACGUGGUUUUUACUGUAACAGGAUCCGUCCAGCCUGCUUCCGUACCACAUGCGUACAGUUGUGCUUUCUUUGGCAUCUGAAACCUUGCUUCAGCAUUUUCCUUCAUACAUCCAACAGUUCUGCUCUAAAUAUAGUAGCCCAAGAUUACCAUGGAAACUUAACCAACCCUGUGGUUUAAUUUGAAAUGGUAGCAUGCUGUUGUAAUGGGCAGUGCAGGAGGGAGAAAAUAGUUUUGGUAAUGUAGAGGAAUGCAGGGAAAUCCAGUUGCUGACUCAUGUGUCAAAUAAGGAUAGACACAUCAGACGUCUCAGCAAGGGGGCCAGCUUUGUCUCAGCAAGUGUUCCAUGUCAUUUGUAGGGCUUGUCAUGCAUCAGUCUUUGUUUUCUCUUGGGUAAGAACCUGUGGGUGCCAGAGCGUGCUUCAUAUGCCUAACCACCUGCCCCCCUCACACACAUGCAUACUCAUACCCACACAUGCUCAGCACCCAACCACCCCCCACCCAUCUCUGCUCACGCAGAGCAUGCCCAGUGUGGGAGUGGUAAGCAGGUGGCUUCUAGUGGAAAAAUUGCGCAUUUGUUGCAGCACGUCAAACAGGAUAGUCUGGGGACUACCUGCCGGAUGCAAUUUGGGCUCUUCAGGUGGAUGGAAGGCCGAAAUGGAAUUGCUCAGAGACGCUGAUGUGAUGUGCCAUCAGGCCAGGCUCAUGCCGUGCCGCUGACAUCUGCCCGCAGUGCAGGGACCCCCACCCACCCUUCAUUCCAUACCCCAGUACCUCAGCCAGUCGUGUUGGCCUGUUCCUAGAAACGGACCCUGUAACAGAGAGUGAUUUGUUAGAAGACUCCAUGCUGUUCGGAAACAGGCCGGAGCGUUUAAUCCGGUUUCAGGUUCACUGACUUGUCUGAUGGCAGCAUGCUCUUGCUCGGUGGUGGACUGGCCUGGCUCUCGUGGUUUGGGUUAACAAUAAAGAUUUUUAGACAUAUCCAGUGCCACCCACUAGUCAGAACUCCUCUAAUCACACGAUACCACCAGCGCUAGGAGGGCGAAAGCCUGCGCAGGCUUUCUGUGAGAUGAAGAAGCCACCACAUCUUUUCGAACUGCCGCUAACACAGUGUCAUUGGACAGCUGACUGCAUUCUGAGGAAAGCGCCAACUGCUAGUUCUGUUAUAUCAGCUAACAGAUGUGUGCGCUGGCUAGCGUUGCGGUGUGUGAUGGGAGGGGACAGGGGAUCUGUCCGACCCACCACCCAAGAGUGAGGCCAGUUGUUCUCUCUUGGACUCCCAGCCACGGAUGUCUGUAGCAUUACAGGGAUCCUGAUGAUAGGGUCAGCGCUUAGACGGUUAUGCCACUCAGGAGCCCUACUGGUAGUUUUUAAAUGGGGCCCUACUAGGUAUUGUAUGUUUGUGUCACAACAUUGUGAUACGUAUCAUGUGUCGUGAAAAUGUCAAUGCCUGUUUUUGUUUGUGUCUGUACCAUUUUCACUGGGAAUGAAUGAAACUGAAAAGUGAUGUUAUAUACAUAUCAUCACUCUCAUAAACUUUUGAAAAGGUAACUUUUAUAGAAGGGAGAACAACCUUUCAGUUAAAGUUAAUGUAAGAACAUUUUAUUCCAAGAAAUCCUGGGCCAUAGAGGAGCUCAUAAUUUGCAGUGGUAUAUAAAAAUAAACAAUAAAAAAUGCUGUUAAGA